AGACAGAUUAGAUAGAUAAGAUUAGAUAGAUGGAUGGAUAGAUAGACAGGCAGACAGACAGAUUAGAUAGAUAAGAUUAGAUAGAUGGAUGGAUAGAUAGAUAAACAGAUAAACAGACAGGCAGAUAGUUAAAACAGAUGAUAGACAGACCGAUUAGAUAGAUACGAUUAGAUAGAUAGAUAGAUAGAUAGAUAGAUAGAUAGAUAGAUAGAUAGACAGGCAGACAGACAGACAGACAGAUUAGAUAGUUAAGAUUAGAUGGAAGAUAGAUAGAUAGAUAGAUAGAUAGAUAGACAGACAGACAGACAGACAGACAGGCCGACAGACGGAGAUUAGAUAGAUAAGAUUAGAUGGAAUAUAGAUAGACAGACAGACGAUAGCCAGACAGACAGAUGAGAUUAGAUAGAUAGAUGAUAGAUAAUUGGAUAGACGAUAGGCAGAUAGAUAGAUAUAGAUAGAUAGAUAGAUAGAUAGAUAGAUAGAUAGAUAGAUAGAUAGAUAGUAGAGUUUUCUCUGCACUAUCCGUGAAUCUUUGCGAGAUUGAAAUGCCAUCUGGAUCAAGAGGCUUUUUUUGUGUCUGUGUGGUUUCCCCCCCCCCCCUUUUUCCCCCUCCUUUUUGCAGUCCCUUAAGUGGAGCUAACUUCUUGAAAGCAGUGUCCUAUUUUUAACGUCUUUAUUGGCACCUAAAUUAUCACUGGGAGAAUAAGUGCGGUAGCAUUAUACGUUGUCUAAGAUCAAGCUCUCAGGCUGCUGCAUCUGGUUUUGUUUUGUGUUGUGUGGUUUUUGGUAUUGUGGGGCGGGGUGGUGGUGGUUGGGGAAUGGAAGCCUGGACAUGCCUGUUUCUGAGCAAUAAACAGUGGGUGCAGAUUCUCCCUCCUCCUCCUCCUCCUCCUCCUCCUCCUCCCUCCCCUUGGAUUUCUGCAAAGUUUGAACCUGACGGGAGGAAAGAAUUAAAACAUCACAUUGGAGGCUAAACCAUUAAUUUAAUUACCCACAGAGCAGUGCUUGCUCGCUCUCUCUCUCUCUCUCUCUUCCCCCCCCCUUUCAAAAUCCUUAAAAAGGCAUUUCCUCCCAUCUGUGUCCCAGCAUCUUCUGGAAGUAGCUUGCAAUUAAGGUCAAGCCUGAAUGGGAAUGCAUUUUGUGACCACUCUGGUGCGGGGAGGGGAGUGGGUGGGAUUCACUCCCUCCCACCCGGUGAAUCCUAACCCUCGCUUUGAACCUCCUGGCUUUUAACAGCUCCACACACUCCAUAAAACACUGCAGGCAGGCAGGCAGGCAGGCAGCCUCCCUCCUGUUCGUUCAGCUGAGCCGGUUGGACAAGGUGGGGCAGCCGCGAGGAAGUCUUUUAUAUUUUUUCAACCUGUGGCCGAAAUCCUUGCCAAUUCAGAUAGGACAGGAAGAUGGCGAGAGUGGGAUCACAUGACCUUGGGACACAGCGACGGGCCUAAGUAAGUGCCAUUAUUAUUACUGACUGAAGCCUGCACUGUGUUUAUUUGACUCCUGUCUUUCUUGAUCCGCAUAUUUUGUCCUUCCGUUGGAAAAUGUCUUUCGGCAGGUUGCGGUCUCAUUGGUCCCUACCGAUGCUUAUUCUGUUGGGCGAAAUCGACUAAACAAACCCAUCCCUCUGCUUUUUUAUGACAGUUAAUCUGAGCAAUUUGGCUCAAAAACAGCAAUUGGACAAUCCUGAUGAAUAAAUUGUGAUUCAAGUCAUCGAAUUGCCAAUUUCUGUUAACUAAC